GACGAACGCUGGCGGCGUGCUUAACACAUGCAAUUCUAACGGAAAGGCCCUGCUUUUGUGGGGUGCUCGAGUGGCGAACGGGUGAGUAACACGUGAGUAACCUGCCCUUGACUUUGGGAUAACUUCAGGAAACUGGGGCUAAUACCGGAUAGGAGCUCCUGCUGCAUGGUGGGGGUUGGAAAGUUUCGGCGGUUGGGGAUGGACUCGCGGCUUAUCAGCUUGUUGGUGGGGUAGUGGCUUACCAAGGCUUUGACGGGUAGCCGGCCUGAGAGGGUGACCGGCCACAUUGGGACUGAGAUACGGCCCAGACUCCUACGGGAGGCAGCAGUGGGGAAUAUUGCACAAUGGGCGGAAGCCUGAUGCAGCAACGCCGCGUGCGGGAUGACGGCCUUCGGGUUGUAAACCGCUUUCGCCUGUGACGAAGCGUGAGUGACGGUAAUGGGUAAAGAAGCACCGGCUAACUACGUG
rnacentral:rRNA from 1 species